rnacentral:sRNA from 1 species
GCUUCCAUAGCAAAGGGUUGCCCUUGGCUACAGGAGGACGCGGGCUGGCAGGCUUGGUUCCUGGCGAGUUUCUAAGCCCCCGCCUGCGGUCUGAGGCACCGGCUGAACCAUGUCGGAGAUCCUGUGCCACUGGCUCAACAAGGAGUUGAAGGUGUCCCGGACCGUGAGUCCCAAGUCAUUUGCAAAGGCAUUUUCCAGUGGCUAUCUACUUGGAGAAGUUCUACACAAGUUUGAACUUCAGGAUGAUUUUUCAGAAUUUUUGGACAGCAGGGUUUCAAGUGCCAAACUUAAUAAUUUUUCUCGCUUGGAGCCAACACUUCACCUUCUGGGUGUGCAGUUUGAUCAGAAUGUGGCCCAUGGCAUCAUCACAGAAAAGCCUGGGGUGGCAACAAAGCUGUUAUAUCAAUUGUACAUUGCUCUUCAGAAAAAGAAGAAAAGUGGACUGACUGGAGUGGAGAUGCAAACCAUGCAACGUCUGACAAAUUUAAGACUUCAAAACUUGAAAAGUGAUACUUUUCAAGAGAGACUGGGGCCACUUAUCAGUUGAGAAAAAGAGUCAGUGGCAGGAGAGAUGAAAAUGGUACAAGGACAAGAUGGAAAGAGGCCCUCUGGGGACGGAAAGAGGAAUAUGCAAUCAAUGGUUCAUGUGGAAGAGGUGAUAUCAUAGGAAA